rnacentral:rRNA from 1 species
CCUACGGGAGGCUGCAGUGAGGAAUAUUGGUCAAUGGGAGAGAUCCUGAACCAGCCAAGCCGCGUGAGGGAAGACGGCCCUAUGGGUUGUAAACCUCUUUUGUCGGAGAACAAAACCCGGGACGUGUCCCGGACUGCGUGUAUCCGAAGAAAAAGCAUCGGCUAACUCCGUGCCAGCAGCGGCGGUAAUACGGAGGAUGCGAGGGUUAUCCGGAUUUAUGGGUGGUAAAGGGUGCGUAGGCGGUCCGUUAAGUCAGCGGUAAAAUUGCGGGGCGCAACCCCGUCGAGCCGUUGAAACUGGCAGACUUGAGUUGGCGAGAAGUACGCGGAAGGCGCGGUGUAGCGGUGAAAUGCAUAGAUAUCGCGCAGAACUCCGAUUGCGAAGGCAGCGUACCGGCUCCACACUGACGCUGAGGCACGAAAGCGUGGGUAUCGAACAGGAUUAGAUACCCGGGUAGUC